rnacentral:rRNA from 1 species
UACGAAGGGUGCGAGCGUUAUUCGGAAUCACUGGGCGUAAAGGGUGCGUAGAUGGUAUGUUAAGUUCGUUGUUAAAGGCUCCGGCCUAACUGGAGUAUUGCAAUGAAAACUGGCGCACUAGAGGGUGAGAGAGAGAAGUGGAAUUCCCGGAGUAGCGGUAAAAUGCGUGGAUCUCGGGAGGAACACCAAUGGCGAAGGCAGCUUCUUGGCUCAUUCCUGACAUUGAGGCACGAAAGCGUGGGGAGCAAACAGG